GUUGCUACUGCAGCUGGGCCAUCUGGUUUGGGUGCAGAUGAGCUUUCUAGCCCAUCUGUGCAGGGUACUUUGAGAAAACAGAUGGAGGUCAAUACCCGCCUCUCUAAGCUCUAAGAGCCAUCUGUGCCUUGUGAUUUGCCUUAUGAGUUGCCUUGUGAUUUGCGUUAUGAGUUGCCUUGUGAUUUGCCUUAUGAGUUGCCUUGUGAUUUGCGUUAUGAGUUGCCUUGUGAUUUGCGUUAUGAGUUGCCUUGUGAUUCGCGUUAUGAGUUGCCUUGUGAUUUGCCUUAUGAGUUGCCUUGUGAGUUGCGUUAUGAGUUGCCUUGUGAUUCGCGUUAUGAGUUGCCUUGUGAUUUGCGUUAGGGUUGCCUUGUGAUUUGCGUUAUGAGUUGCCUUGUGAAUUGCGUUAUGAGUUGCCUUGGCCUCACCCUGGGUGUCACAAGUUUUACAUAGGCUUAUAUAGGAAAAAACUUUAAAAUUUUCUUGUCUGAAGCCACAAGGACUAGGUCUUAAAUAUUUGGUUUGAAGCAUUGCCUACUGAUAGGGUCAUGUGGGGUAAAAAACUAGGUCAGUGGGACAAAUAAAAGAGUGGCCUCUAGGGGCCAUACUUUUCAUUGGAUCUUUAUGAUAAUAGGUCAGAAUGUUCACUUUAUUUAGCAAAGCUACAGGUGAGCGAUACAGGGCCAUCAUGGCCCUCUUGUAACUAUUAUUGGUAUGAGGUUGCUCAAAAUAAAGUUAGAAUUUAACAGCGGGUUUAACGGUUGAACCAGCCGUUAAAUGUAACGGAGGAAUAGACCUACGUUAAAACAUUAACGGAAGGUUUCCAAGAUGGCGGCUCUAUUUGUAAAUCAUAGAAUAGUGAAAGAAUUUCGGCACACUGCACAUGUACAGAAUAUGCUAGACAAUGAGAUGUAUGCCAGAUACAGAUAUACGAAUGGUGGAAUAGAUUAUCUAGAGGAUUUGCUGAAGGAAUCGCUGGAAAGAACGACAAGAAGAAACAGAGCACUUACUGUUAGACAGAUGAUUCUGAUUACGUUGCGCUUCUUCGCCACAGGAGCAUUUUUUAACAUCAUUGGUGAUAGCAUGGGCUACCACAAGUGCACUGUGUCACGUGUUGUAGCCCAAGUAACAGAAGCAAUUUGUGGUCACAUACAUCAGUUUGUGAUGUGGCCUGAUGCCAAUGCUCGAGCAUGGAAUAUGACAGAAUUUUUUAAGAAAGCUGGUUUCCCGAAUGUUGUUGGAUGUGUAGACGGAACACAUAUCCGAAUCCAGGCGCCAUCCGAAGACGAACCAGCCUUCGUGAAUAGGAAAGGCUUCCAUAGCAUCAACAUGCAGGCUGUAUGUGACAUCAAAGGAAAAUUUACAAGUGUAAAUGCAAGCUGGCCUGGGUCGUGCCACGACGCGCACGUCUUCAGAACGUCGGGAUUGGCAGCCAAACUGACCAUUGAACAUGUGGCGUUUUCAGAUGGUGUCCUUUUAGGAGACAGUGGUAUCAUAAGCAGAAGACUUUAUGAUGUCGGCCAUCUUGGAUGCUGAAUGAUGGUGACAGAUGAAUUAUGGGACAGGAAGUUGGAUUUAAUUGACUGUUAAGCAUUUAACGCUAGCGUUACUAAACGGCAGCGUUAAAUAGCUAUGAGCAACAAUAAUUAAACUGACCGUUAAGUAACAGUCAGUUAUGGAUUUAACGGAUGGUUAAGGCUCCAGAGUGUAUUUUGUCCAAAUGCAUACAAAUACGGGCAAAUAAACUUGGUGGGGGACAUUCUACAAAGGAUAAAAAAGGGAAGCCAUGAUAGCCUCUAGAAGAACAAAAGAAGAUGUGGUCACCUAUAUCUUAGGUCACUGCUGAGUUAUGUGAGCGUGCACUUGAGACUGACAGUCAUCUGCUGCGACAGACGUUAUCAUGGUUACAGGAGAAGACUUCCCGCACCAACCAGGUCCUAGACAACUGUACACAUGCCAGGCAGGCAGCAGACAACUGGUGGAUGAAGCCAGAAGUGUGUCCCCAGGGUGACUGUAGAUGACCACACCUUACAGCAGUACAUGGACAGAUGGACAGUCCUAGUGACCAGCCUUAUACAACAGCUUCUACAAAUCCAUUGCUGUUCGGGACAUGUAAGUAAAGACAAUAACCGUCUACCAGACUGCAAGAUUCAUCUCUUCCAAAGGAUGUCAUAGCUUUCCAGGUACUCGGUGUGUUGGCAGAAUGGUACUACCAGUCACCUAAGCCACCUUUCCCCUCUCAGACAAGAGUCUCAUGUGGAAAUUCCCUGCAGUUUACAGCAAAGCUCUUAGUUGUAGCCCUACAAACUUCAGAUACUGCCGAUGGCGUAGAUCCAGUGCACUGGGCCAGUAAUCCAGACGUGUGAAAUAGACAUCUCCAGCUAAACUUAAGCCAGGACUUAUAUUAGACUCAUUAACAGCAAAAACCUCUCUCUUGGGUGGAUGGAUACAGAGAUGACCCCAGAGAUGCGGCCAGGACUGUGGCACAUGGACAUUGUAGAUAGUGACUGUAAAGAAAUGAUGAUAGCAGAAACACGAAACUGUGGCACAUGGACAUUGUAGAUAGUGACUGUAAAGAAAUGAUGAUAGCAGAAACACGAAACUAUCUUGAUACAAUUUUCUGGUGUUAAAUCAACAGACAAAGUGUUCAUAAGAUGUGGGGGAAAAGUGUCAAAGCUGAAAUCUCUUUUGCAAAUGCAUAAUAAAGUGGUGAACUAGAGAAAUUUUACAUUUAACAAAGAAGAGAAUCACAUUGUCAGCUGACACUUUUUCGUAGAUGGCUCUGCCCUCUGCCCAUGCAUGAAGUAACUAUGAAUGACAGUUAAGGAUGCCGUUUUCUGAAGGCAGUUGCACCUUUCGUCAUGAACCUGAAUUUGAAAAUAGAUGUAUAAUCAGCUGUCAAAUUGUAUUGACAUCUAUUCAGUGAACAAUUAAAGUAUU